CUACGGGGUGCACCAGUGAGGAAUAUUGCACAAUGGGGGGAACCCUGAUGCAGCAACGCCGCGUGGAGGAUGACGCAUUUCGGUGUGUAAACUCCUUUUAUAUGUCAAGAAAAUGACGGUAGCAUAUGAAUAAGCACCGGCUAACUCCGUGCGCAGCAGCCGCGGUAAUACGGGGGGUGCAAGCGUUGCUCGGAAUCACUGGGCGUAAAGGACGCGUAGGCGGGUUGGAAAGUCAGGUGUGAAAUCCUACAGCUUAACUGUAGAACUGCACUUGAAACUUCUAAUCUAGAGUAUGGGAGGGGGAGAUGGAAUUAGUGGUGUAGGGGUAAAAUCCGUAGAUAUCACUAGGAAUACCUAAAGCGAAGGCGAUCUCCUGGAACAUUACUGACGCUAAGGCGUGAAAGCGUGGGGAGCAAACAGGAUUAGAUACCCUGGUAGUC
rnacentral:rRNA from 1 species